rnacentral:lncRNA from 1 species
UUUAUAUUUUUUAUUACAUGCACUUCUGUGUUCUUUGUAUCUCUCACGACAAUGUCUUUCAACAAUUUCAACCAUCCGUUGAUCAUUUAAAUCAACAUCAAAUUUUUCCUGAACAUAGAGAAAAUAAGACUUCAGUGAUUAGAGUAUUAAGCAUAAUCCAAAUGAAUUACAAAAUUUACUUACAAGAAGACGAUUAUAGGCUAAUUCUCUAUCAUG